CGACGGAUACACGGCCAGUCCUCAGGGGGGCAGGAGGGGCAGGAGGAGGGAGGAUCACUCAACCUACACGCACGGCACACUGUAUGUUGGCACACCCCUCGACACCUUACCACCUCCUCCCCAACUAACCUGUACCCGUGAUAGAGUUACAGCAGAGGAAGACACAAGACAAGUGUACCUGGCGGAGCAGAUGGCAUUAGGGAAGCUGGCGCAGUAAUGGUGUGUACAGGGAGGCUGACAGAGGCUCACGUCCCCCGGCAGAACCUCUCUCGUCGGCUGCUCUCCAGUCCCUGCUUCCUGCCACCAUCCCCGCUGGGAGGAAGAAUCUGCUUCGCUUCCUACCACCACAAGAGUCAAAGUUAAUGACAGCAGUUCCUCGAGUAUGUGAAUUCCCGCCGACCCCAGCCGCGCUGUACACGACACCUAUCUGAAGAAGGGCUUCCCCACCCCACCUGGAGGACGAGGCAACUAUCAGGCCGUGAUGGGCUCUUCCUGGCACUUCAUAUCUGUCUGGCGCCAUGAUAACGGGAGAUGCACCCCCCACCGAGCUAGCAGACACACCCCUGCCUGCUGUCUACUACCACUACCACCACUACCACUUCAACCAUCAUCACCCCCACAGUACAACAACCCUCAACUUGUUUUCACUGAGAUAUGUACAGAAAUGGACCAGUGGACCGAGAUAACUGGUGGUCACACAACGAUCAUGAACAGAGAAAUGUGCACGUAGAUAAGACACGGACGACAUCAACAUUUGUUUCGUGUUAAGGUUAAAUUACCCGAGGCUUAGUUUGGUUAGGUCUAGUUGGUAUGAACAGAACUAUUUUUUUCUUCUAAAUUUAUAGGAGGACAUUGUUCUUAUUACAGUAUGUCCAUUUCACACACAUCGAUCCAUUUUCUAUUUGUAGUUGCACUUUGUUUUUAAAAUACCACUGUGUAAUAUUUUCAUGUGUAUGUCUUCAGCUGAAUCGAGUGACCCAGAGGCAUUACUAUACAUACAGUACAUGACAUCCUGCUUGGUUUCCAUUAUGACAUCCUCUUCUGUGUGGUCUAUCAUGCAUCGAAUAUGUAUAGCACCUUG